rnacentral:rRNA from 1 species
UACCCGCAGCACGAGUGGUGGUCAUUAUUAUUGGGCCUAAAGCGUCCGUAGCUGGCUUGUUAGAUGCCUGGGUAAAUCGAUGCGCUCAACGUAUCGAAUUCCGGGUAGACCGGCAAGCUCGAGACCGGGAGAGGUGUAGGCUACUCGAGGGGUAGGGGUAAAAUCCUGUAAUCCUUCGGGGAGGACCAGUGGCGAAGGCGCUACACUAGAACGGCUCUGACAGUGAGGGACGAAGCCCUGGGGCGCAAACCGG